UCCUUUGUAGUGUAACGGCUAUCACGGUUCGCUUUCAUUAAUUCUUCAGUUAAGAAAGUUCCGAGCAGACCGGGGUUCGACUCCCCGCAAGGGAG
rnacentral:tRNA from 1 species